GGCUAAUACCGGAUAAUUCUUUUCUACACAUGUAGAAAAGCUGAAAGAUGGUUUCGGCUAUCACUCAUAGAUGGGCCCGCGGCGCAUUAGCUAGUUGGUGGGGUAAUGGCCUACCAAGGCGGCGACGGGUAGCCGGACUGAGAGGUUGGUCGGCCACAUUGGGACUGAGAUACGGCCCAG
rnacentral:rRNA from 1 species